UAAAAACUCUACGGCGCUUUCCCAGUUUAUGGCUUCAAUGUAAACAUUCAGUAGCUCUCAUCGACCGACCUGUUACCAUCAAUAUCGUCACCCUGACGGCACCCACUUCCAGGCACCACUCGCCGCCAUGACGUCGUUAUGGCUGAUUCUCGUUACAUGUUUGGUUGUUCUGAGCAUCAGCGGUGUCAACAGCACGACAUCUACUUCUACAGCUGCAACAGUUCCUGCAACACACCGGACGGCCAUAACUGCAUCUCAAACGACAGCUCAAUUGCUCACACCUAC